CCCGGUUCCGGGGACUCGGGGUCCGUGAACAGUGUGGACCUUUAUUAUUAUUAUUAUUAUUAUUAGCAUUAUCAUUAUUAGGAUUGUCGUUAUUAUUAUUAUUAUUAUUGUUUUGGUGUGUUGUCUGCACUGCCUCUGAUCUCUGUCCUCAUCUGUAUGUAGGCAGGUUUGUGUGUGUUUGUGUGUUGCUGUUUCUGUGGCCAAGUUACAGGCAUCUUCAGGCCUGAGGGGCGUGGCCUAGCUCGAGGAUUGGCCACACCCGAAGCCCUUGCCACACACCUGCUCCUCAUCAGGGCUCGUCGGUGGAACUAUUUAAAGGAGUGAUGGAGCUUCCACCGACGCUGGAUUAUUGCGUUUGACUUCACGUCAGUCUUCUAGCUUGUAGGAAAGUGUGAGUGUAUGCCUGCUAGGAUAUAGUGUGUUAACGGCUGCCUCUAUUGUUUUCCCUCAGGAGGAGUGUGGAACGAGAGAGGGCAGUGAGCACGGGGAGUGCAGAGACACUGGAGCAGAGAGCACUACAUGGGGACUUUUGGGAAGAAGACACAACACGGGAGUCAGGGACACUAGGGGAUUUAUUGUUGUUUACUUCACCACCUUGUAAAUAAACACUGUUGCACUGAAGAGUCCGGCGUUUGGGUCCAAUUUCCCCACAUCCCCACGGUCUGCCAGCCAGACCGUGACAGAAUAAUCCAGCCAUCAUGGGCCCAGCGGACUCAAGGACCGUUUCACAGGAGGGGUUGCUCGCCCAGCUCUGGAAUUACUGUCGGAGCAUUAUCCAGGUGGCAGAUCCACAUCAGAGACACAUACAGGUCGUAUUUUUUGAUACUUUCCUGUCUUCAACCACCUUUUCUGUGAGCUUUUUGGACAUUAAGAAAUUAAUUUCUAUUAUAACCAUGCUGAGGGCAAGUUCCAGCUUUGAGCUUUUCGGUUUGGGCUGUCCGGGCGAGGAGGAUGUGGCGACCUCCCUGGGGGCCCUUGCGGCCUGUUUCUUUUCUCAUAGGCAGAUAGCUUCCCCACCGUCGUUUGCGACUCACUUGUUGGACCCUCCAUUGCAGGGGAAACAGCUCACACGCCCUCUGCACCUCACCACAUCUCCACUCACCUCCGCGGCAUCUGCUGAGUCGGCAGACAAAGGACCAGCUGCUCCAAACCACACAGCUGCUCUCCUGCCCGGCCGACUGGUGGAAUCUCAGCCUUUCGCGCCGGCCCCGGCAUCGUCAAAGAAGCGACGCUCGCGCCGCUGGCGCUCUUCACCGCAGCCGGAUUUCCGGACUUCUCAACAGUCGGCUGUGGUGAGUCAUUUGGACAAUUUUUCUUUACACACCCCAUCUGCCAACUCUACCUCGGACUGUGUGAAUGCUAAUGCUGUGACCCAGCUGUUAGCACAACCUGAAGCCAUAGCACAGCACGUAACUCAGUCUGCUGCCCAGCACGAAACUCAGUCUGCUGCCCAGCACGAGACUCAGUCUGCUGCCCAGCACGAGACUCAGUCUGCUGCCCAGCACGAAACUCUGUCUUUAGUCCAGUCAGCCUUUCAUCCUCAUCCUCAGUUGGAGGUCGAUAUGUCUGCUGGACCUACUCUGCCACCAUUUCACCAGUCUGUUGUUCCUGCAUCGCUGUCCAGUCGACCACGAGUAGCUGCCACACCAUCAUCGCCUCCGCCCUCUGCAGCUACUUCUCCACCAGCGUCCCAUCAGAUUGCAGCGACCGCGGCACUCUCGGCUUCACCUUCCACAUCGCCCGCUCAACCAUCAUCUUCACCACCUGCAGCUACCGCAUCACCAUCUUCGCCUCCGAAUCGACCAUCCGUAGCAGCGCCGCUGCCGGAGGGGCAGCUCAGCGAGCCGGAGGAGCUCAGCGAGCCGGAGGAGCCCGCCUCGCCGACUGUGGAGCUCAGCGAGCCGGAGGAGCUCAGCGAGCCGGAGGAGCCCACCUCGCCGACUGUGGAGCUCAGCGAGCCGGAGGAGCUCAGCGAGCGGGAGGAGCUCAGCGAGCGGGAGGAGCCCGCCUCGCCGACUGUGGAGCUCAGCGAGCCGGAGGAGCUCAGCGAGCGGGAGGAGCCCGCCUCGCCGACUGUGGAGCUCAGCGAGCCGGAGGAGCUGAGCGAGCCGGAGGAGCCCGCCUCGCCGACUGUGGAGCUCAGCGAGCCGGCGGAGCUCAGCGAGCGGAUGGAGCCCGCACCACCUGAGGAGGAGCUCUGUGAGCCAGAGCCGGAAUUCGGCGAGCGGGAGGAGCGGCUACCAUCAAGAGAGGGGCCCGGCGGGCCGGAGAAGCGCGCACCGCCUGAGCUGGAGCUGCAGGGGCCGGAGCUGCAGCAGGAGCAGGAGCUCGGAGAGCGAGAGGAGUGCCCGCCAUCGAGAGAGGGGCUCGGCAGGCCGGAGGAGCGUGCACAGCCAUCGAAGGUCGGCGGGCGGGAGGAAUCCGAUCAGUCUACGCGGGGGGUCAGUGUGCAGGGUCCACGUCCAGCGCGCCCUCCACGCCGUCCACGUCCAGCGCGCCGGGCGUCAUGGGCUGUUCUACUCUGUCACCCGCCAGAGCUGCAACACUGCUGCUACCGGACCCAUGGCCGCCCGCCGCAGCUGCCACGCCACCGCGACUGGAUCCGUGGCAGGCCACCGGACCUGCAGCGCCGCUGCCACUGGAUCAGUGGCAGGCCCCCUGAACCGUUUUGUCGCUGCUGCCGGACCCAUGGCCGUCCGCCGGAGAUCCAGCGUUCCCUCCAAUGGACUAGAGGUAGGCCUCCUGAACUGUAUUCUGCCUCUGCCUACCCACAGCAGGUCUCGCCUGUUUUUCCGCCCACUGGGUCGGCAGCCAGAACUGUUUGCUGUCAUUGGAGCGGGGUUGGACUACUGAACUGAGUUUUUUUUCAUUUUUUGUUGUUUAGUGGUGUUGUCGGAGAGGUUUUGGGGCCCUCCGUCCUGGACCCCCCGCCGCCCGCCCUGGGUUGGUUGUACUGUGGUUUUUGGUUUUUGGGUUUUAGUUUUGGGGUCGUCGGGAGUCGACCCUUAGAGGGGGGGUACUGUCACGGACCCGGUUCCGGGGACUCGGGGGUCCGUGAACAGUGUGGACCUUUAUUAUUAUUAUUAUUAUUAUUAUUAUUAGCAUUAUCAUUAUUAGGAUUGUCGUUAUUAUUAUUAUUAUUAUUUUGGUGUGUUGUCUGCACUGCCUCUGAUCUCUGUCCUCAUCUGUAUGUAGGCAGGUUUGUGUGUGUUUGUGUGUUGCUGUUUCUGUGGCCAAGUUACAGGCAUCUUCAGGCCUGAGGGGCGUGGCCUAGCUCGAGGAUUGGCCACACCCGAAGCCCUUGCCACACACCUGCUCCUCAUCAGGGCUCGUCGGUGGAACUAUUUAGAGGAGUGAUGGAGCUUCCACCGACGCUGGAUUAUUGCGUUUGACUUCACGAGGAGUGUGGAACGAGAGAGGGCAGUGAGCACGGGGAGUCCAGAGACACUGGAGCAGAGAGCACUACACGGGGACUUUUGGGAAGAAGACACAACACGGGAGUCAGGGACACUAGGGGAUUUAUUGUUGUUUACUUCACCACCUUGUAAAUAAACACUGUUGCACUGAAGAGUCCGGCGUUUGGGUCCAAUUUCCCCACAUCCCCACGGUCUGCCAGCCAGACCGUGACAGAAAUAUACGUUUGAGGUAUUUCAGAAGCUGUUUCUUGAGCUUGACAUCCUUAAAAUGUCACCAAAGGUCCAGUCUCUCCACAAGAAACUUUUAG